CUCACUGCACAGAGAGAAGCUAGGCAGCUAAUGCUAAUUACAAAGUGGGGGAAGUUUAAAAUAAAAAAAUGAGGAAUAUAAAGUUUUGACAAAUGUAACUCGUUUUAUUUCACAGUUCUUGGACUGAGUUUGAGUUCUCCUCUCGUCUGUGCUGCUGAAUGCUGCUUUCUGGACGAGUUUCAUGAGUUUUCAAGUUUUUAGCAUUGGACGUAGUGGAAGGAGAAACCACUGGCAUUUAAAACAUGGAAGCUGCUGGAGCUGAAGAGGUUGCAGUGAAUACUGCACAACACAAAUCAGAGGAGACACUGGACCAUCCUUUACCAAAGGAAAGGAGACAAUGCCGUCCCACAAUUCCUUGUGGCAGCAACAAGAAGUAACGCACGUUCAG